GACGGGUGAGUAAUGCCUAGGAAUCUGCCUAUUAGUGGGGGACAACGUUUCGAAAGGAACGCUAAUACCGCAUACGUCCUACGGGAGAAGGCAGGGGACCUUCGGGCCUUGCGCUAAUAGAUGAGCCUAGGUCGGAUUAGCUAGUUGGUGAGGUAAUGGCUCACCAAGGCGACGAUCCGUAACUGGUCUGAGAGGAUGAUCAGUCACACUGGAACUGAGACACGGCCCAGACUCCUACGGGAGGCAGCAGUGGGGAAUAUUGCGCAAUGGGCGAAAGCCUGACGCAGCAACGCCGCGUGCGGGAUGAAGGCCUUCGGGUUGUAAACCGCUUUCAGCAGGGAAGAAGCGAAAGUGACGGUACCUGCAGAAGAAGCACCGGCUAACUACGUGCCAGCAGCCGCGGUAAUACGUAGGGUGCAAGCGUUGUCCGGAUUUAUUGGGCGUAAAGAGCUCGUAGGCGGUUAGUCGCGUCGGAUGUGAAAACCCAGUGCUUAACACUGGGCCUGCAUUCGAUACGGGCUGGCUAGAGUGUUGUAGGGGAGACUGGAACUCCUGGUGUAGCGGUGAAAUGCGCAGAUAUCAGGAAGAACACCGGUGGCGAAGGCGGGUCUCUGGGCAACUACUGACGCUGAGGAGCGAAAGCGUGGGGAGCAAACAGGAUUAGAUACCCUGGUAGUCCACGCCGUAAACGGUGGGCGCUAGGUGUGGGGA
rnacentral:rRNA from 1 species